UCACCAUCGUCGCUAUCUGCAGCUGUUGCUUUGCUGAUGACGAAUUUCUCUCUUUCUCUCUCAUCUUCUCCUCUCAAUUUUCUCUCUCCUCCAAUUUUGUUUUUUUUUAACUCCUCUUUCUGCCGUUUUCAUUAGAGGUUUUACUAACGACUAAGGGAACCCCUACCUAAGGUCAUGUUCCUGUGUUCUUACAGAAAAAGAAAGGAGUCGGAAUUGAAGAUUCCAUUACUGAAAGACAAAGAGGAGGAGACCCACCUGAAUAAUCCAGCAAAUUCACCCUCCUAUCAAGUUUCUGCAGAAAACCCAAUUGAAUUCACCUUCACUUCUGCAAGAUUUUUCAGCUCUACUUCUCUUCCGGUCAGGUUCUAUGUUGGGGGUUUCCGAUUCGUCGGGGAAUUCUAGUGCCGCUGCUGCUUCUGCUGCUCCUGCUCCUCCUUCUGUCGCUGGGAAUCAUGAAGGUGAUGUGGGUGUUGGUGGGUCAAUUACAGUUGCAGCAGGUGAUUCUGCUUCUGGUAGUGGGCUUGGAGGUAGUGGAGGAGAAGAUGAGAAGCUGAGAGGUGAAGAGGGUGACCGGAAUUUGGCCGGAAAUCGGUGGCCUCGUCAAGAAACGUUGGCUCUGUUGCAGAUUCGGUCUGAUAUGGACGUUGCUUUCCGUGACUCCACUCUCAAAGGUCCACUAUGGGAAGAGGUUUCUAGGAAACUUGCAGAGCUUGGAUAUCAUCGAAGCGGCAAAAAGUGCAAGGAGAAGUUCGAGAAUGUGUACAAGUAUCACAGACGCAUCAAAGAAGGAAGAUCUGCCAGAGCUGACGGCAAGACCUACCGUUUCUUUGAUCAGCUUCAAGCUCUCGACCAUCAUCACCCAUUAUUACUUCCUCCGCUCUUGCCGCCAAAACCACUCCAAUCUCAAUCACCUGCUGCGGCUCCGCCUCAUCUAAUGCCGACGACGAUAGCCACUCCAUUAACAGCAGCAGCGCCACCACCCCCACCACUACCAAUUGUCUCUACUCAUACUGCUACUCCGACUGCUACUGCUGCUACUACUACUACUACUACUACUACAACAACCACCACUACUGAUCCCAUGACGACUACUUCAUCUAUGGAUUCAUCUUCCUCCUCCGAAGACGAAUCCGGUGGCAGCCGCUCGCGAAGGAGGAAAAGGAAGAGAAUGACGGCGUUCUUUGAGAAACUAAUGAACGAGAUGAUCGAGAAGCAAGAGAUGCUACAAAAGAAGUUCUUGGAAACCAUAGAGAAACGCGAGCGCGAAAGGGUAGCUAGAGAAGAAGCUUGGAAGGUUCAGGAGAUGGCGAGGAUGAACCGAGAACACGAAUUGAUGCUACAUGAACGUUCCAUAGCCGCUGCGAAAGACGCUGCCGUGAUCUCAUUCUUGAAGAAAAUUUCCGAACAGUCGAGCCCAGUUCAAUCGACAGAACUACAAUUGCAAUUACAUGAAAACCAAAUCCAGAAUCCAAAACCAAAACCAAUUCCAAUUCCAAUCCCAAAUCCAAAUCCAAAUCCAAAUCCAUCGAAGCAGCCAUCGCCGGAAAAGAUGAUGGUAGAGAUCCCUCGGCCGGUACCGGAUAAUGCCGCCGCCGCCGAAAGCUUUGCUGCAACUUCGAGUAACUUAUCUUCUCGAUGGCCGAAAGCGGAGGUUCAAGCACUUAUUAGAUUAAGAACCAAUCUGGAUCUCAAGUAUCAGGAGAAUGGGCCAAAAGGACCAUUAUGGGAGGAGAUCUCAGCCUCCAUGAGAAAGGUUGGAUACAACAGGAACGCCAAGAGAUGCAAAGAGAAGUGGGAGAACAUCAAUAAGUACUUCAAGAAGGUGAAAGAGAGCAACAAGAAGAGACCCGAGGAUUCCAAGACAUGCCCUUACUUUCACCAGCUCGAUGCUCUCUACAAGGAAAGGACCCAUCAAACGCCGCCUCUGUUGCAGAAGCCGGAGAACAUGAUAAUGCCACUCAGGCAAGAACCGAUCCGGCCACAGUCAGAUGUAGAGAGCGAGAACAACAUGGAUAUAGAGAUGGCGGAGAUGGAAAGGAACCAGGAAGAACAAGAUGAUGAAGACGGAGAUGACGAAGUUAAGGAUGAAGGCGGAGAUUACGAGAUUGUGGCCAACAACAAUUCUUCUUCGCUGGCCAUCGUCGAGUGAGACGAGAUAGAGAAAUAGAGGGAAGUUUCACAACAACUCGAUCAGAAAUCAGAAAGAGCUCCAUGUAGGGGAUGGGGUGUGCCAUUUUGAGUGACUGAAGAAGCUUUUGGGGAAAUGGGUCGAGUUGCAGAAGCUGUCGGAUUGGUAAGUGGGUCUGCAAUUUGCAUUUGAUCCUCCACCAUUAACAAUCUUCUGGGAUUCCUGCUUGGUAUUUGAUGUAGCUUAAGUCUCUGCUGAGGUUUUGCUAUCGAUGAUGGGGGACCUGUGGCUGAGGGCUGUGGGCUGUGUGGGCACUGGGCGCUGGGCGCUCUCUCUCACAUUCUGUGUUAGUUUUUUUUGGGGAAUGGUUACUGAUAAUGGAAGAGAGAAAAGGCUUUGAUAGGGAGAGAUGCUUUCUUUUGAGGGCAAUUUUGUCGUUUAAACAAACCUCACAAUGGUCCAAACUUCCACUAUUAAAGAAUCUUUACUUGGAUUAUAAGAAACCUUUCAUCACAUGUAAAAGCCACUGUUUAGCUGUGCUAUCUGACUAAAAUGCCCUUCCAUGAGACGAUCUUUUCUUCUAUUGUCACAACUACUUCUCUUGCCAGUAACAUUCCUUACCCAUUUCUAUUUUUGUGGUCCAA